UCUCUCACUCAUUAACAUGAAAGUAUUACUGCAAUCCCCAAUCAGCAGCGAGCACUGAAACAACACCUCCGUGAUGAGCCUUGCCUGUGAGAUGCCGCCAUCCGCCGCUAGCCUGCCUCCUCAAUUGGAAGGAAUGAUUCCAGCACAGUGAAACUUUGUUUGGUGCUUCACAAGCGGGAUCCUCGCCGCCUUCCGCCAUUGUGUGGCUGUGCUGAGCGGCGGGCGGGUGUUUACAGUGUGUUUCCUCGGUAAUCUGGCCAAGUUCAUCGACCAAUUCCGGACUAAGUGCCUGUGUUUACAGUAGCGGGUGAUGGGCUCCCGGCGCGCGGCGAGACAACAUCAGUUCUGAUUACGAGCCUGAAAGAGGAAGGCUGAUGCUGCUGUAUAGACCCAGGCUGUCUGGGAGUUGGCACUGAAGCACACGUGGACAGCGGUCCCCUUGUUGUCGUCAAUCAGUACAAUGGGUAUGGAGAGCCUCUCAUAGUGAUGGGUUUUGCUGAGUAACCUUUUCACCUCGACCUUAGAGAGGCUGACAACCUAAGGGAGUGCUGCAGGGAGCGGUGUUUUGCGGGCUGGGCGGGAGGUGGCUGCGGUGAGGCCCUCUGUAAUUCCACUCUACCGUGCGCCCCUCUCUUUCGUCAUUAGUGGCCGGGUUAUACUACUCCCGGCGUGUUUGUGGCAGCCAGUGACAUGCUGCUGUUGUUCACAUGUCCGUGUCCUAGCGCCCCUGUGUUGUUUGUCCUUGUCGUUACAUUCCUUGCCUUUCCCUCGUACAGAAAUGUAGGAAUGCUGUGUGUGUUUAUCGCAAGUGGUGCAGGAAUUAUGGUGUG